AGCGAACGCUGGCGGCAGGCCUAACACAUGCAAGUCGAACGAAGUCUUCGGACUUAGUGGCGGACGGGUGAGUAACACGUGGGAACGUACCUUUUGGUUCGGAACAACUCAGGGAAACUUGAGCUAAUACCGGAUGAGCCCUUAGGGGGAGAGAUUUAUCGCCGAAAGAGCGGCCCGCGUUAGAUUAGCUAGUUGGUGAGGUAAAGGCUCACCAAGGCUACGAUCUAUAGCUGGUCUGAGAGGAUGAUCAGCCACACUGGGACUGAGACACGGCCCAGACUCCUAUGGGAGGCAGCAGUGGGGAAUCUUGCGCAAUGGGCGAAAGCCUGACGCAGCCAUGCCGCGUGAAUGAUGAAGGUCUUAGGAUUGUAAAAUUCUUUUACCAGGGACGAUAAUGACGGUACCUGGAGAAAAAGCCCCGGCUAACUUCGUGCCAGCCGCCGCAGUAACAC
rnacentral:rRNA from 1 species